AACGAACGCUGGCGGCAUGCCUAACACAUGCAAGUCGAACGAAGCCCUCGGGCUUAGUGGCGCACGGGUCCGUAACGCGUGGGAAUCUGCCCCUUGCUUCGGAAUAACAGUUAGAAAUGACUGCUAAUACCGGAUGAUGUCUUCGGACCAAAGAUUUAUCGGCAAGGGAUGAGCCCGCGUAGGAUUAGGUAGUUGGUGGGGUAAAGGCCUACCAAGCCGACGAUCCUUAGCUGGUCUGAGAGGAUGAUCAGCCACACUGGGACUGAGACACGGCCCAGACUCCUACGGGAGGCAGCAGUGGGGAAUAUUGGACAAUGGGGGGAACCCUGAUCCAGCAAUGCCGCGUGAGUGAUGAAGGCCUUAGGGUUGUAAAGCUCUUUUACCAGGGAUGAUAAUGACAGUACCUGGAGAAUAAGCUCCGGCUAACUCCGUGCCAGCAGCCGCGGUAAAAC
rnacentral:rRNA from 1 species